GGAUUCCCUCAGUAAUGGCGAAUGAAGCGGGAACAGCUCAAAUUUGAAAUCUGCGUCGCUUGCGACGCCGAAUUGUAGUUUCUAGAAGCAUUUUCUAGGCGGAUCCAGCGCCGUCCAAGUUGCUUGGAACAGCACGUCAUAGAGGGUGACAACCCCGUCUGUGGCGGAGCUGGCCGCUCACGAUGUGCUUUCAAAGAGUCGGGUUGUUUGGGAAUGCAGCCCAAAAUGGGUGGUAAACUCCAUCUAAAGCUAAAUAUUGGCACGAGACCGAUAGCGAACAAGUACCGUGAGGGAAAGAUGAAAAGCACUUUGAAAAGAGAGUUAAAAAGUACGUGAAACCGUUAAAAGGGAAACGGAUGUGGUUAGCAAUGCGUUUUGCGAGAUUCAGCCGAGUGUCGUUCCGGGCGGGCGGUUUGCGGAUCUGAAUGGACCGUGGCCGUUCGGUUCGGAACUUCAAUCGUCGCACUUCUCGCUGGCGCGCGCCAACGUCGGUUGGUCUUGGGUCUUAAAGGCACGAGUAAGGUAGGUUCUUUCUCUCGGGAUGGAGCUGUUAUAGACUUGUGUUGUAUGGCCCGAGGGCGACCGAGGAGCCGCGGCGCAUGCCUCCUUCGGGUUGGCUAGGGUCCCGCCUUUCCGGUCGGUAGUCAACUGUGGUGGACUGCGUGCAGUGCGCUACGACCGCUGCCGGUCGAUUAGGUGGUGAUUUCGUACCAUGCGCCCAGGACGUUGGCGGUCAAAUGGCCCCAUUCGACCCGUCUUGAAACACGGACCAAGGAGUCUAACAUGUGCGCGAGUCUUUGAGUGAUUGAAACUCGCAGGCGUAAUGAAAGUGAAGGCGGCCUAGCCGUCGAGGUGAGAGGCUGUCCCUCGGGGCAGCUGCAUCAUCGACCGACCUAUUCUGUUCUCAGGAAGGUUUGAGUAAGAGCGCAUCUG
rnacentral:rRNA from 1 species